rnacentral:rRNA from 1 species
UACGAAGGGGGCUAGCGUUGCUCGGAAUCACUGGGCGUAAAGGGUGCGUAGGCGGCUUGGUAGGUCUGGUGUGAAAGCCCCGGGCUCAGCCCGGGAAGGGCACUAGAAACUGCCAAGCUAGAGUGCCGGAGGGGAGAGUGGAAUUCCUGGUGUAGCGGUGAAAUGCGUAGAGAUCAGGAGGAAUACCGGUGGCGAAAGCGGCCAGCUGGGCCGUCCCUGACGCUGAGGCGCGAAGGCGUGGGGAGCGAACGGG